AAUGAACGCUGGCGGCAUGCCUAACACAUGCAAGUCGAACGAUGGCAUCGGCCGUAGUGGCGCACGGGUGCGUAACGCGUGGGAAUCUGCCCUCAGGUUCGGAAUAACAGCGAGAAAUUGCUGCUAAUACCGGAUGAUAUCGCGCGCUCCACGAUUUAUCGCAGUAGGCGGCGCCGGGGCAGGAUUAGCUAGUGGGGGUGGUAAAGGCGUACCAAGGCGACGACCCGUAGCUGGUCCGUGAGGCAGAGCAGCCACACUGGGACUGAGACACGGCCCAGACUCUUACGGGAUGCAGCAGAGGCUAAUAUUGGACAAUGGGCUAAAGCCAGAACCAGCAAUGCCUCUUGAGUGAUUAAGGCCUGAGGGUAGUAAAGCUCUUUUACCCGGUAUGAUAAUGACAGUACCGGGAGAAUAAGCUCCGGCUAACUCCGUGCCAGCCGCCGCGGUAA
rnacentral:rRNA from 1 species